rnacentral:rRNA from 1 species
GAUGAACGCUAGCGGCAGGCUUAAUACAUGCAAGUCGAGGGGCAGCAUGAUUGUAGCAAUACAAUUGAUGGCGACCGGCAAACGGGUGCGGAACACGUACACAACCUUCCAACAAGUGGGGGAUAGCCCAGAGAAAUUUGGAUUAAUACCCCGUAACAUAGCGAUGUGGCAUCACAUUGCUAUUAUAGAUUUUUCGCUUGUUGAUGGGUGUGCGGCUGAUUAGAUAGUUGGCGGGGUAACGGCCCACCAAGUCUACGAUCAGUAGCUGAUGUGAGAGCAUGACAAGCCAAACGGGCACUGGGACACGGGCCCGACUCCUACGGGAGGGAGCAGUAAGGAAUAUUGGACAAUGGACGCAAGUCUGAUCCAGCCAGGCCGCGUGAAGGAUUAAGGUCCUCUGGAUUGUAAACUUCUUUUAUAAGGGACGAAAAAAGGCUUUUCUAAGUCGUCUGACGGUACCUUAUGAAUAAGCACCGGCUAACUCCGUGCCAGCAGCCGCAGUAAUAC